UCUCUCAAAAUAUCUUCUUCUUGUGAUGAUGUGAGAUGAUACAAUGCCUACGGUGCUGAGAUGAAGUGAGGUGAAUGACAUAGGCAUUGUGACAUAGCGUUAGUCUACCCUUGACCUACUGACGGUACAUCAGAAGGAGGAUCAUUGAGCUAUGAAGACGCUAAUGGUUGGAUGUCGGGAGCAGACAAUGCCUGUGGUUGACUAUAGGUAACUGAAACUGUGGAAAGUGAAACCAUAGGUAAGGCGGGACUGCUGUAUUUUGUCUUUGUCAGUGGUCAUGGGUUCUUUAACUGCAUCUGUUUGUUUAACAAAUGUCUCUAAUAGCUUACUGCCUUCCAGGUGUAAAACUAGGGACUGAUAUCCAUCAAUCAACAAGAUCAUCAUCGUCCCUGCCCUCAUAGAGCUCCACUCUGUCCUGUAUAUAACCCGAUGCUGGACUGCAAGACCAUACGAAAAUAUGGAGAAACUUGGGGAGUUUAUCCAUAGUCAGGGGUACUAGCAAAACAAAUUACUAUGUGAAAUUGUGGAAACUUUAUUUGAGAUCACUGAAGUUAGAGGACUGAGAAACACUUACCCCAGCUGGGUUACAGUCACCUUUCCUAGAAAAACAGAGAGUGGACAACCAUUUUAGAGCUUUUGAAAUUCGGGGUUUUUUUUUUUUUUUUUAAUCUACAGUUUACAUAAAACUCUUGAUUUGUUUUCAUACAUAAUGAUGACUCUGUUGGGCAAUUAUCUGGCUUGCUUUUUCUAGAAGUUGGAAUCGAUUUGCCCCAUCCCAUCCUCAUUCUUCUAGCUGGUUUCUUUGACACUGACACCUGUCAGACACUUGAUUCAGAAUUCCGAUGAGACUGAGCUUAGGGAACAUUGGAGGAAAAAAGGGAAGUUAGUUACCUGGUCCAUGUGGGCUUCGGCUUUAUGUAAAUAUGUAUAAAGUAAUACAAUCAGUUGGGAACAAUCUAGGUGAGCAUCCUGGGAGGCAGUAAGGAAAAAGGAAAGAAGCUGGGUUUUGGUGUCACACGGGCCACUUUUAUGUGAUCUUGAACUCUGGUUCUCAGUCCUCUCAGUCUGCGUAGUGAUAUCUAUCACAUAGUGCUGCUGUGAGGAUUAAAAUGAGAUAAUUUACGUGAUGUGCUGCAGGCCUGUGUGUCAAGGGCCUCAGCAUGCAGAAAAAUACCUGGAGAUGACUCCUGUGUGUCAAUCCUACCUAGAGUGUGUGUGACCUAAUCAACUCCAGUCUCUUCCAUGUUAGCACAGUCGAUAGUGGUCAGUCUGUUGUUGCACUAGUUAGGAUAGGUUAGUUAGGAUAGGUUAGGUGAUACUGCAGUAACAAGCAACCCUUAAAUCUCGGUGGCUUUCAAGGAAACUCAAAGGGUUUUUUUUUCUUUCUUUCGUUUUCACAUAAGCAAAGGCUACUGCACAUCUGUGUGACUCUUCAGGGAAGCCAUCCUCCUUCUGAUGGCUCAGCAAGACGCCUCCUGAUGGAAACAGGCUUCCGUGGUGCUGAGAAUCCCAGCAUGGAAGCAAGGGGACAAUGGCAAGGCGCACAGUUAACACUCACUUAUAGCCAGACUCUGCAGCAUCUGGGCAUGGCUGUGUGACAUUUAUUGUCAAGCAGGCAGUUCUCUUACAAGACCACCAACAUUCUUCAAACGUCAGUGACAUAAAACAGGAGGGGGGUUUAGAGCUCUGGAUUCUCUGUCUGGAAAUGUCACAAUUUAAUCGCGAAGGUUUGCUGUGAAGUUGUAAGCAUGAUGGUGUGAAACUUGACAGAUUAUUCUUGAAUUCUUUGUUUGUUUUUGUUGUGGCCUGACUCUCAUAAAAUUUAUUUUUUCUUUAAAACUCCCAGGAUGUGUGGACAUAUGAUUUAAGUGGAGAAAAAUAUUGUUAAAACAUUUAUCAAGGAGUUAUCACUUUUCCAUUGUUUUCAUUAAAUGAAAAGCCCUAAUAGUCAGAGAAUCUAAUACUAUAGAUUUUCUCUGCAUCUUAAAAAAAGUCAAUAAAUGUUCAUGCAAAGAGUUUGUUUUGAAAAUGUGUGCAACACCCACUGUGUUAAAAUCAUUUUAAUUGUGUGCGUGUGCCCCCCAACACACAUAUAGGAAAAAAAAAUCACAUAGUUAUUCUCCAAAAAGUUAAUACUAUAUAUCCCAGGAUGGUGAGAUUAAGUUUAAUUUUCUUUUUUUCUUUGUGCAUUUCUGUAAUUUUCCAAAUAUCCUAUAAUGGCCAAGUAUUUUUUAAAAACAAGAGCAUAUAUAUAACCAAUUGUAAAAAAUUUAUAUAGAUUUCUACAUUUGUAUAGAUUUCUACAUUUGUAUAGAUUUCUACAUUAUAAACUCCCAAUAGAAAUUUUUAAAAUGCCUUUUGGAGUUAUUGGUAUUGAGAAGAAAAUUGUAUAUUAUUUCCAUGUUUUGUGUUGCAUUUUAACAGAAAAUUUUUUUUUAUCGUGGUCAUAAUAGUUUGUAACAUUGUGAAAUUUCAAUUGUACGUUAUUACUUGUCAGACACCAUAUAAGUUAACACAAUUUUUAAUGUUAUUUUGAUUUCAUAUAGGAAAAUUGCAUUUUAAAUCAAAUACUUCAUAAUGGAGCUCACUUAUCUAGAGUUCAACACAUUUUAGAUUGAGGAUGAAAAAGGAGGCAGAGAAUAAGUCAAGAGGAGCUUGUAAAAUGAUGAAAACAAGGUAGGAAGGAAAAUUCUAAAUCUGGAGUUGAGUCUUUCUGGAGAAGAUUAAGAUUGUGGAGAGCUGCAUACAAUCCAAACAUGUGAUGACCAAGAAAAACCAUCAUUAUAUAAAUAGACAGUCUGGAAUCCCAGUUCCCCCCAUUUUUUUCUGGGAAAGUCUCAAUUUUUCUCCAAUGGCCACCCUCCCAUGUGCCCAAGUUGGUCUAAACUAUGUAUGAUGGUUUCAUUCCCUUCGUCACUGACUCUUUUAGGCAAUCUCUGCCAUUGGGAACUAAGGGGAAUUCUGCUGGGGGAAUUCUGGAGAGAUUUUUCCUUCCUUAUGAAAACUGAAUAAAAUAUUUAAAGCAACUAUUGAAAGGCAUAAAAGAACAACCAAGGCAGAUAAGACUUGAGUGGCUAAAAUCCUGGAGAGAGAGGAGACAUACAGAAAGAAGCCCCACAUUUGCCUCUACCUCUGUGAAUUAAUGGUGUGGAGAGUAAAGGUGGAGCAAAAAGUGAUAGCUGGGGACAGGAGAAAUCUCACUGGGCUGGAAAAAGUUGGGGUUUGGAGUUUCCAAAGAGGAUGAGCAGAUGGAGGUUGAAGUGUGGGUCCCAACAAGACUCAAGAGCCUUGGUACAGUUGAGACCCCAGACGACUCUACCAUGGGAGCAAGAACAAACCAUUAAAAGAUUAAGCCUAUCAAAGCUUAAGAUUCACCCUCAACCAGAUCAGGUUGAUCUGAAAACAUCCUAUCUGCCUUCCAGAAAAGAAUUAAAUCCUCUUUGGAUGAAAAUAUCAUCAACCAGAGCCUUACAAUUUUCCAUACAUAAUGUCUGACAUUCAGUAAAAAAUUUACCAAUAUAUGAAUAAAUAGGGUCAAGUGACAAAAACCAAAAGAAGAAACAGAUAAUAUACGUAGACCUAAAGGUGAUUGAGAUAUUGGAGAUAUCAGACAAGGAAUUAAAAGCAAUUCUGAUUAACGUGUUUAAGAAGAGAAAAUAGAAUAAAAGUGAAGAAUUUCAUCAGAAAAAUUAUAGGAAUCUUGAAGGGGGCAUGAGGUGCCAGUAAAUAUCUUGAUCUUUAUGAUGAUUAAUUGGGGGUUGUAAAAAUUCAUCAAUUCAAAUUCAUUAAAUUCACCAUUUAAGAUUUGUGUAUGUGUGUUAUACUUUUUAAGAAGUUGAGUAAUAAAAAAAUUCUAAGAGAAAGAGAGAAAGAAAAUGUUUAACUCUUCUUUGCUGGACAUUAUCAUACCUGUGAUCCUUCAAAUUAAUGAGCUUCUCUCAAUCAUGAGGGAAGACACUGUUGAUGUGAUGAAGACAGCAAGUAGAAAGCUGAAAUUACCUAGGUCCAGGGGGAUACAGCAAAUAUUUAAAACCAGCACACUCUAGGCACCAACCAACUGGAAUACAAUCAAUAAUGACUUAACUAUUUGGGAAUAGCCCUACUGCAAUAGUUAAGAGUAGGAUCCAGAGCUGGAUGGCUUGGGUUUAAAUCCUGGAUCUUCCACCUAAUAUUUGUAUAAUCUUUAGCAAAUUGUUAAACUCUCCAUACCUCAGCUGCCUCAUCUCAAGUUGGGGAUACAUCAUGAGGUUUGUAUAAAGGAGUAAAUGAGUUAAUACAUGUUAAGAAUGUAGAAUAAUACCUGGGACUUAGUCCUUAAUGUUAUUUCUUGAAUUAAGUAUUAUUAAUAUUAUUAUUACUUAUGGAUUUUUGUUAUGUGAAAUAAUAAACACCUUCCUGUAUAAGCUUCUAUUUGGAUCUUCUGUUACUUGCCAAAAUCAUCCCAACGCAUUCAUACGACAGCCAGUAAAGACAGAAGUAUAAGAAAAUGUGUACAUAUAUAUAUAAAGUGUUGGCUUUCAGGCUAAUUGGCUUUAGGUCCUUUCUGGAUGGACACUCUUCUAAGGAUUCUCUCACACUUGUUUUUUUCCUUUUUCCCUCCCAAGAAUGAACCUGAACACAGGUGUAUUGCUGCCACAGUACAGAUUUCCCCACAUCGAUGCCAUAUUUCAAUAAUGAUUCAUGUACGCUUUUCACAUUAUCUUAUUUAAAACAUUGCAAAGCCCUUGUUACCAUUGGACGGCAGGGCAUGCACUUGAGCAGUGUGGCAGCAGAGCUGGGAAACAUUUCCCCAGCCCAACAGCUCUUAUCUCUGGGGUUCGUGCCAACUGGUUUAGGAGUUGCUCUCAGUUGCUGUCUAUGGCUUCCAACACCCAUCAAAAUUCUCAUUUUCUAAGAGUUGGUUCUAAAUUGCCAUAGUCUUUUUCAAUGUAAUUCCACUUUUGGGACUCCUAAGGAUGUAAUCCCAAGACAAAUCAAUCAAACAACAAAAGCUAUGUUCAGGAAGAUGUUCAUUGCAGUGUUUUAUUAUGAGUAAAAAUUGAAAAUAAUCUAAACUUCUCUCUAGUGAACUAGAAACAAUCUAAACUCAUUUCAGAAGGGAUGACUUGGUCUCAGUAAAACAAUAUAUGACUAUCUGAAAGAAAGGAGAAUUUGGGACAUUUUAUAUCUAAUUCUAAAUUACAUAUAAAAUAAGAAAAUAGUUAAGUAAAUGAUACAUAUAGCUAUUCAGUAGAAUAUUCUGUAGUCAUUAAAAGGAUAGCCAUAAAGAUAUACAACAACAAGGAAAACAGUUAUGAGAUAGCGCAUGUUAAAAACAGGAUAAACGAGCUGGCCCAGUGAUAUACUGGUUAAAUUUGUGUGCUCUGCUUUGGCGCCUUGGGGU